AUUGAACGCUGGCGGCAGGCCUAACACAUGCAAGUCGAGCGGAUGAAGGGAGCUUGCUCCUGGAUUCAGCGGCGGACGGGUGAGUAAUGCCUAGGAAUCUGCCUGGUAGUGGGGGAUAACGUCCGGAAACGGGCGCUAAUGCCGCAUACGUCCUGAGGGAGAAAGUGGGGGAUCUUCGGACCUCACGCUAUCAGAUGAGCCUAGGUCGGAUUAGCUAGUUGGUGGGGUAAAGGCCUACCAAGGCGACGAUCCGUAACUGGUCUGAGAGGAUGAUCAGUCACACUGGAACUGAGACACGGUCCAGACUCCUACGGGAGGCAGCAGUGGGGAAUAUUGGACAAUGGGCGAAAGCCUGAUCCAGCCAUGCCGCGUGUGUGAAGAAGGUCUUCGGAUUGUAAAGCACUUUAAGUUGGGAGGAAGGGCAGUAAGUUAAUACCUUGCUGUUUUGACGGUACCAACAGAAUAAGCACCGGCUAACUUCGUG
rnacentral:rRNA from 1 species